GACGAACGCUGGCGGCGUGCCUAAUACAUGCAAGUCGAACGAAGCUGUUUUAACUGGUGCUUGCACCGACUUAAACAACUGAGUGGCGAACGGGUGAGUAACACGUGGGUAACCUGCCCCAAAGCGGGGGAUAACAUUUGGAAACAGAUGCUAAUACCGCAUAAUCACAGAAACCACAUGGUUUCUGUGUCAAAGAUGGUUUCGGCUAUCACUUUGGGAUGGACCCGCGGCGUAUUAGCUAGUUGGUAAGGUAAUGGCUUACCAAGGGGAGGAUACGUAGCCGAACUGAGAGGUUGAUCGGCCACAUUGGGACUGAGACACGGCCCAAACUCCUACGGGAGGCAGCAGUAGGGAAUCUUCCACAAUGGACGAAAGUCUGAUGGAGCAACGCCGCGUGAGUGAAGAAGGUUUUCGGAUCGUAAAACUCUGUUGUCAGAGAAGAACGUGUGCGAGAGUAACUGUUCGUGCAGUGACGGUAUCUGGCCAGAAAGCCACGGCUAACUACGUGCCAGCAGCCGCCGUAA
rnacentral:rRNA from 1 species